rnacentral:pre_miRNA from 1 species
CCCUUAACUAUUAAAAGUUUCGUUUUGGUCCUUUAAAUUACUUUUUGGUUUCGUUUUGGUCCCUUAACUCUUCCUCCGUCAACCACUUUGAUCCUUUAUGUUAGGAUGAAUGUAUUAGAGUUAAGGGACCAAAAUGAAACCAAAAAAUAGGUUAAGGGACCAAAACGAAACCAAAAAAUAAGUUAAGGGACCAAAACGAAACCAAAAAAUAAGUUAAGGGACCAAAACGAAACUUUUAAUAGUUAAGGGA